GGGGAAGGCACUUAAGCACCGCGCCGCACAGAACUUACUUGGGAGCUGAGGUAGCGCUUGAGGCACUCCUCGCAGACGGGCUUCUUGCAGCAGGGCAAGGGCUUCAGAGGCUUCUCCUCCAGACACACGCGGCAGCCUUCUUAGCAUACUAUGUGUGUUCCUUCGGAUCGGUCAAGUGGCCUGCCUGCCUGCCUGCCUGCAAGGUUCACUCACUGAUCAUCGUUAUAUGGAAAAGGGAAGAAAAGGGGCCCCCAGCCAGCCUCUUCAUAGAGUUAGAGCUGCGAUGCGAGCAACAAGUGAAGGAGCAAAGCAUGUGCCACUUCAUUCAAGCCCAUACACAGAAAUGGUGCUUCGAUGCCUACUGUACAUGCUACAAAGCUUGCAAUCAAUUCCGAGCUUAAUAAUCAUUUGUGAUACAUUGGCCAGGCUUGCUACAAAGGCAAUGGAAUGGGGGCACCCAAAGAGAUGGACUUCACUGGAAAAAGAACCUGAGGUCUUUUCUGCAGUACAGCUGCUCCCGCAAAGAGACGGAGGCCUAACACAGGGACCACAGGACUUCAGAGAAUCAGUGACAUGCCAAAAACAUCACAGUGCAACUGGAUGAAAAUAGGUGAUAGCAUCACAGAAGAAUACCACAGAGCCUUGUUACAUAUGGAAUUUUGCCUGACAUAUCACAGAUCCUAACAGCUGGUGCAGAAUCCUCAGAAUCCCUGAAAAGGGUGGCAAAGCAGCCUCCAAGCCCUUCGGAAUAAAAUGCUUCAAAAUGACAUGCACUACUUUCCCUCAUCCCCACCUCAUGCUUUCUUCUACUACUCAAGAGUUGUUUGGAUCAAGGCAGAAAUGCAGCAGUGGUGAGAAGCUUCAUGAGUCUGGAAGAGACCAAACAGUUGCUGCUGCACUUGAGAAUCUCUAGACUGGAGGAAGCUGCAGCCCUUCCAGAAGGAUGGGGGUGGGGGGAAUCACAUGGUUAUUUAUUCAUUUAUCAGAUUUGGAUCCUGUUUUUUUCUUUUUCCUUACAACAAACUCAAAGUGGCUUGCACCAUUCUCUUCCUCCUGCUCUCAGUCUUAUCCUCAUAACAAACCUGUGAGGUAGGUUGAGCUGAGAGUCUGUGAUUGUCCCAAAGUCACCCAGUUGGCCGAGUUCCAGUCCAAAGUAAGUUGGGCUGAUUCAAACAUGGCCGAGUGAGGACUAGAACCCAGUUUGCCUGAGUUCCAGUCCUGCACUCUUAACCACUACACCAUGCUAUCUUCUGAACUGCACUGGGUAAGCACAAACCUCACCCACUGUCCUGUUUCCUGCACUAAAAGGUAGUUAUCCUCUCCUUGGUUUGUUUCUCAAUAUGGUUCUGAAAAACAAGAAGUGCUGACAUCUA